rnacentral:rRNA from 1 species
AGUGAACGCUGGCGGUAGGCCUAACACAUGCAAGUCGAACGGCAGCACAGUAAGAGCUUGCUCUUACGGGUGGCGAGUGGCGGACGGGUGAGGAAUACAUCGGAAUCUACUUUUUCGUGGGGGAUCACGUAGGGAAACUUACGCUAAUACCGCAUACGACCUACGGGUGAAAGCAGGGGAUCUUCGGACCUUGCGCGAUUGAAUGAGCCGAUGUCGGAUUAGCUAGUUGGCGGGGUAAAGGCCCACCAAGGCGCCGAUCCGUAGCUGGUCUGAGAGGAUGAUCGGCCACACGAGAAGUGAGACACGGUCCAGACUCCUACGGUAGGCAGCAGUGGGGAAUAUUGGACAAGGGGCGCGAGCCUGAUCCAGCAAUACCGCGUGGGUGAAGAAGGCCUUCGGGUUGGAAAGCCCUUUUGUUGGGAAAGAAAAGCAGCAGGUUAAUACCCCGCUGUUCUGACGGUACCCAAAGAAGAAGCACCGGCUAACUUCGUG